CCUACAGGAGGCAGCAGUGAGGAAUAUUGGUCAAUGGGAGGAAUCCUGAACCAGCCAUGCCGCGUGCAGGACGACGGCUCUACGAGUUGUAAACUGCUUUUGUACCGGGGUAAAAUGCUCUACGAGUAGGGUUUUGAAAGUACGGUACGAAUAAGGAUCGGCUAACUCCGUGCCAGCAGCCGCGGUAAUACGAAGGGUGCGAGCGUUGUUCGGAAUUACUGGGCGUAAAGGGAGUGUAGGCGGAUAUGUAAGAUAGCGGUGAAAUGCCGGGGCUCAACCCCGGAACUGCCAUUAUGACUAUGUAUCUAGAGUAAUGGAGAGGAUAGCGGAAUACCCAGUGUAGAGGUGAAAUUCGUAGAUAUUGGGUAGAACACCGGUGGCGAAGGCGGCUAUCUGGCCAUUUACUGACGCUGAGGCUCGAAAGCAUGGGGAUCAAACAGGAUUAGAUACCCGAGUAGUC
rnacentral:rRNA from 1 species